AACUCAAAUUUUCUUACUCUCUCUCUCUUCCCUUCGAGCCUAGCAAGAACCCACCAAAAUAUUAGGAUUUUGGUUUGAUUUUAAAGAGAUCAUAGUUGAAUCUAAGUGGUGUAAAUCAAAGGUACAGGAAAGGCGAAGGCUGAACAGGAGUGAGCUCCAAGCUUAGAUGGUGAUUAUACAUGUCAGGACGGGCGACUUGGGGUGUUCGAUCUCGGGACAUCUUGGGCAGUAUUUUGCAGUCGCUCUGCGACAUGUUGGUAAAAAUAUUUUGGCUAUGUUUGUAAAAGUUUAAACUCGAGAUCGCGAUUAUGUAAAUAUAAGUAUUUAUAAAGUUUGAUAAUUUUAGGUGA